CCUACGGGUGGCAGCAGUGAGGAAUAUUGGUCAAUGGCCGCAGGGCUGAACCAGCCAAGUCGCGUGAGGGAUGACGGUCCUAUGGAUUGUAAACUGCUUUUGUACGAGGGUAAACGCAGAUACGCGUAUCUGUCUGAAAGUAUCGUACGAAUAAGGAUCGGCUAACUCCGUGCCAGCAGCCGCGGUAAUACGGAUGAUUCAAGCGUUAUCCGGAUUUAUUGGGUUUAAAGGGUGCAUAGGCGGAAUGCCAAGUCAGCGGUAAAAUCGGGGGGCUCAAACUCGCUCCGCCGUUGAAACUGGCGUUCUUGAGUGGGCGAGAAGUAUGCGGAAUGCGUGGUGUAGCGGUGAAAUGCAGAGAUAUCACGCAGAACUCCGAUUGCGAAGGCAGCAUACCGGCGCCCAACUGACGCUGAAGCACGAAAGCGUGGGUAUCGAACAGGAUUAGAUACCCUGGUAGUC
rnacentral:rRNA from 1 species